GGAUAGGUGGCCGAGUGGCUGAAGGCACACGCCUGGAGAGCGUGUAAACGGGUAACCGUUUCGUGGGUUCGAAUCCCACCCUAUCCG
rfam:Gemmatimonadetes bacterium 13_2_20CM_69_8 13_2_20cm_scaffold_10655, whole genome shotgun sequence.